CAAUAGCGUAUAUUAAAGUUGUUGCGGUUAAAAGCUCGUAGUUGGGUUUCUGUUGAGGACAGGCGGUCCGCACUUUGUGCGUGUAUCUGUUUUGGCCUUGGCAUCCUCCUGGGGAACGAUACUGCGCUUAGUUGCGUGGAUCGGUAUCCAGGACUUUUACUUUGAGGAAAUUAGAGUGUUCACGGCAGGCUUGCGCCUUGAAUAUAUUAGCAUGGAAUAAUACUAUAAGACUUCGGUUUUAUUUUGUUGGUUUCUAAGACUGGAGUAAUGGUUAAUAGGAACAAUUGGGGGCAUUUGUAUUAACACGUCAGAGGUGGAAUUCUUGGAUUGUGUUACGACAAACUACUGCGAAAGCAUUUGCCAAGGAUGUUUUCAUUGAUCAAGAACGAAAGUACGGGGAUCGAAGACGAUUAGAUACCAU
rnacentral:rRNA from 1 species